GUGAUUGCUUCAGCAGCACAUAUACUAAAAUUGGAACAAUACAGAAAUUAGCAUGGCCCCUCCCCAAGGAUGACAUGCAAAUACAUGAAGCAUUCCAUAUUUUU